UCCGAGCGGACAGAUGGGAGCUUGCUCCCUGAUGUUAGCGGCGGACGGGUGAGUAACACGUGGGUAACCUGCCUGUAAGACUGGGAUAACUCCGGGAAACCGGGGCUAAUACCGGAUGGUUGUUUGAACCGCAUGGUUCAAACAUAAAAGGUGGCUUCGGGUACCACUUACAGAUGGACCCGCGGCGCAUUAUCUAGUUGGUGAGGUAACGGCUCACCAAGGCAACGAUGCGUAGCCGACCUGAGCGGGGCCAACCCUUACUGGGACUGAGACACGGCCCAGACUAAUACGGGAGGCAGCAGUAGGGAAUCUUCCGCAAUGGACGAAAGUCUGACGGAGCAACGCCGCGUGAGUGAUGAAGGUUUUCGGAUCGUAAAGCUCUGUUGUUAGGGAAGAACAAGUACCGUUCGAAUAGGGCGGUACCUUGACGGUACCUAACCAGAAAGCCACGGCUAACUACGUGCCAGCAGCCGCGGUAAUACGUAGGUGGCAAGCGUUGUCCGGAAUUAUUGGGCGUAAAGGGCUCGCAGGCGGUUUCUUAAGUCUGAUGUGAAAGCCCCCGGCUCAACCGGGGAGGGUCAUUGGAAACUGGGGAACUUGAGUGCAGAAGAGGAGAGUGGAAUUCCACGUGUAGCGGUGAAAUGCGUAGAGAUGUGGAGGAACACCAGUGGCGAAGGCGACUCUCUGGUCUGUAACUGACGCUGAGGAGCGAAAGCGUGGGGAGCGAACAGGAUUAGAUACCCUGGUAGUCCACGCCGUAAACGAUGAGUGCUAAGUGUUAGGGGGUUUCCGCCCCUUAGUGCUGCAGCUAACGCAUUAAGCACUCCGCCUGGGGAGUACGGUCGCAAGACUGAAACUCAAAGGAAUUGACGGGGGCCCGCACAAGCGGUGGAGCAUGUGGUUUAAUUCGAAGCAACGCGAAGAACCUUACCAGGUCUUGACAUCCUCUGACAUCCUAAAAAAAGGACGUCCCUUCGGGGCAA
rnacentral:rRNA from 1 species